UUGGAUUGAGACAACGUACAAAUGUUAUCGAUAAACAAUUGGAGGGCAAGUCUGGUGCCACCACCCGCGGAAAUUCCAGCUCCAAUAGCGUAUAUUAACGUUGUUGCAGUUAAAAAGCUCGUAGUUGAAAUGGGGGAUGAAGUAUAUGAUGAAUUUUAUAUUCCUUUAUAUAUUGACCCCCCUCUCCAUUUUAUUAUUAUGGGUAUUAAUUUAUUUGGAAUAAAAAUUGGGCAUUUACUGUGAAAAAAAUUAAAGUGUUUCAAAGCAGGCUUUUGCUUGAAUAAAUUACCAGGGAAUAAUACUAAAAGGUUUUUAUGGCCAAUUUAUUUGGUUUGUUCAUAAAAGCAAGAUUAAAAGGAACAGUUGGGGGUAUUCAUAUUCAAUAGUUAGAGGUGAAAUUCUCGGAUUUAUGGGAAGAUGAACAAGUGCCAAAACCCAAA
rnacentral:rRNA from 1 species